GCCUGGGUGGCUCAGUCGGUUAAGCGUCAGGCUUAUGCAUCAGGUCACGAUCUCACGGCUUGUGGGUUCGAGCCCUGCCUCAGGCU
rnacentral:tRNA from 1 species